GCUGAGUGGGGAGGAGAGAGGGACAGAGAGCCUGCUUCUUUAAAGGAGCAAAGCUCCUUCUUUAAAGGAGUAAGUGGCUCCUGUCCGGUUGGUUCCUUUAAAGCAAGUAGGCUCUCUGUCCCUCUUUCCUCCCCACUCAGC